rnacentral:rRNA from 1 species
GAAGCGGCAACAGCUCAAAUUUGAAAUCCGGCGCAAGCCCGAGUUGUAAUUUGUAGAGGAUGCUUCAGGGCAGCGGCCGGUCUAAGUUCCUUGGAACAGGACGUCAUAGAGGGUGAGAAUCCCGUAUGCGACCGGUUGGCACCCGUCACGUAGCUCCUUCGACGAGUCGAGUUGUUUGGGAAUGCAGCUCUAAAUGGGAGGUAAAUGCCUUCUAAAGCUAAAUACCGGCCAGAGACCGAUAGCGCACAAGUAGAGUGAUCGAAAGAUGAAAAGCACUUUGGAAAGAGAGUUAAAAAGCACGUGAAAUUGUUGAAAGGGAAGCGCAUGCAACCAGACUUGUCGGCGGUGUUCAGCCGGUCUUUUGACCGGUCUACUCGCCGCCGGCAGGCCAACAUCAUUUGGGAGCGCCGGAUAAAGGUGGGAGGAAUGUGGCCCCUCGGGGUGUUAUAGCCUCCUACGCAAUACGGCGCCUCCCGAGUGAGGUCCGCGCUUCGGCUAGGAUGUUGGCGUAAUGGUUGUCUGCGGCCCGUCUUGAAACACGGACCAAGGAGUCUAACAUCUAUGCGAGUGUUCGGGUGUCAAACCCCUACGCGUAAUGAAAGUGAACGGAGGUGGGAACUUUUUGUGCACCAUCGACCGAUCCUGAUGUCUUCGGAUGGAUUUGAGUAAGAGCAUAGCUGUUGGGACCCGAAAGAUGGUGAACUAUGCCUGAAUAGGGUGAAGCCAGAGGAAACUCUGGUGGA